rnacentral:rRNA from 1 species
UGAGCAAUCUGCCCUUCACAUCGGAAUAACCAUUGGAAACGAUGGCUAAUACCGAAUAUGACUUCGGAUCGCAUGAUCUGAAGUGGAAAGCUCCGGCGGUGAAGGAUGAGCUCGCGGCCUAUCAGCUAGUUGGUGAGGUAAUAGCUCACCAAGGCAACGACGGGUAGCCGGCCUGAGGAGGGUCGACCGGCCACACGUGGGACUGAGACACGGCCCAGACCUCCGG